GACGAACGCUGGCGGCGUGCUUAACACAUGCAAGUCGAACGAAGAGCGAUGGAAGCUUGCUUCUAUCAAUCUUAGUGGCGAACGGGUGAGUAACGCGUAAUCAACCUGCCCUUCAGAGGGGGACAACAGUUGGAAACGACUGCUAAUACCGCAUACGAUCUAAUCUCGGCAUCGAGGAUAGAUGAAAGGUGGCCUCUACAUGUAAGCUAUCACUGAAGGAGGGGGUUGCGUCUGAUUAGCAAGUUGGAGGGGUAACGGCCCACCAAGGCGAUGAUCAGUAGCCGGUCUGAGAGGAUGAGCGGCCACAUUGGGACUGAGACACGGCCCAGACUCAUACGGGAGGCAGCAGUGGGGAAUCUUCCGCAAUGGACGAAAGUCUGACGGAGCAACGCCGCGGGAGUGAUGACGGCCUUCGGGUUGUAAAGCUCUGUUAAUCGGGACGAAAGGCCUUCUUGCGAAUAGUGAGAAGGAUUGACGGUACCGGAAUAGAAAGCCACGGCUAACUACGUG
rnacentral:rRNA from 1 species